rnacentral:rRNA from 1 species
AACGAACGCUGGCGGCAGGCCUAACACAUGCAAGUCGAGCGAUCACUUCGGUGGUAGCGGCGGACGGGUGAGUAACGCGUGGGUAACCUGCCCCAUACACAGGGAUAGCCAUUGGAAACGAUGAUUAAUACCUGAUAACACAUAUUUACCGCAUGGUAGAAAUGUCAAAGAUUUAUCGGUAUGGGAUGGACCCGCGUCUGAUUAGUUAGUUGGUAAGGUAACGGCUUACCAAGACAGCGAUCAGUAGCCGACCUGAGAGGGUGAUCGGCCACACUGGAACUGAGACACGGUCCAGACUCCUACGGGAGGCAGCAGUGGGGAAUAUUGCACAAUGGGCGCAAGCCUGAUGCAGCAACGCCGCGUGAGCGAAGAAGGUCUUCGGAUCGUAAAGCUCUUUCUUAGGGAAGAAAAUGACGGUACCUAAGGAAUAAGCACCGGCUAAAUACGUGCCAGCAGCCGCGGUAA